rnacentral:lncRNA from 1 species
GGAUGUAGAGUUUAGGGUUUAGGGUUUUGCUUCCAAAAAACUAAAUCACCACCUAAAUAUUAUGCUAGCAAGGACGGCUCGUUUUCCACUAAGACAUGACAUCAAUUCUUAGGCUGGAGCUCGUGAUCCCACCGCAAACCGUCACUGCGAUCAAACCCAUCCCGGAACUUUCCUUUUGGGAGAGGUAGAUCCGCCACAACCAGAUAUCUAUUAGCUUCUUCUCCCUGACCUAGCAAAAAGAAGCCUCGCAACUAAC